GCUUUGCGCCCCGCAGUGCGGACCCCUCAGGGCUGGCUGGAGGCUUCCCAGCGCGGUAUCCAGGCCAGGUUUACUAUUACAGUUUCCUGGUGAUACGGGCUUCGCCUCUGGAAAAAGCUCAGGAUUCGAUGCUCUGAAUUCAGGUUUUCUGCAUUUUUUUUUUUUUUUUAAAACGGAACAUGACUGACAGGAUGACAAGCAAACAGGACGCAGGUUCAUGGUGCUAGGACAAGCAGCCAUGUCUUAGCUGCGGGACUGAAGAUUCUUCUAAAUAACCAGGCCUUCCCCCAGGCUCAUGGAGUCAGAGCCAGGGGUUUUACAACCCGGUACAGCGCACAGAGGACGAAGCUCGUUUGAUACUCGAAAUAUUAUCUAUCUCCAAGCACAGUUAUGGAGCUUCUUCCAUUUAGCAGUGUGCUCAGAAAUGGGAAGAUGAGUGAAGUCCAGGAAAUAUGGGCAGUGCUACAAGGAAGAUUGUUGCUCAGGGAGAAGACACAAGGCAGGAGGAAGCCUGAAGCUUAGAAGAAAAAACUGCAAGGUUGGGUUCUGGGUAUUGACAAUUCAGACUGGGUACAGUCAUGGCAUUGUCUCUGCUCCAUGAUAUCUGGGCAUCAGCUGGGAAGAAUAAAAGCUGGAGAUGACUUGACUGCAGGGGCUGGAAUCAUCUGGAAGCAUCUUCACUCCUAUGUCUGGUGGGUGAUACUGAAUGCCGACUAGGACUUCUCCUGCAGUGGCUGCUCCAUGUGGUCUCUCUGUACAGACUAACUUGGGCUUCCUCAUAGCAUGGAAGCUGGAUUCCAAAGUGACUCUCUCAAGAAACAGGAAGUAAAAACUGUUAGUGUUUUUAGAGCCUGGGCAUGAUCAUAGUGUCAUUUCUUCUGUAGUCUUAUUGGUCAAGGACUAACAGA